rnacentral:rRNA from 1 species
GCUGGUUGAUUCUGCCAGUAGUCAUAUGCUUGUUUCAAGGAUUAAGCCAUGCAUGCCUAAGAAUCACUGCACUUGCAGGAAUCUGCGCAUGGCUCAUUACAUCAGACGUAAUCUGCCGCAAAUAUGUUGCGGUCAUCCGCAUGAUUGGAUACCUUGUUGCGAAACGCCAAGCUAAUACAUGAGUCUAGAGAGUGUUCCCCGGUCAAUGCCGGAUGGAAAGGCCAUCAUUUCGGUGGUGGUUCCGAAAUCUGGCAGUGGGACAACUCAGCGAAUGAAUGAAAUUAAAACUCAAUGCCGCCGUCGGGUGGCAGCAACACAAAGAAGUGUUGACUCAAUUCAUUCCGUGCGAAAGCCGGUCUGACCGGCGUCUUUUGAUGAACAACUGCCCUAUCAGCCAGAUGGCAGUGUAGUGGACUGCCAUGGCGUUGACGGGAGCGGGGGAUUAGGGUUCGAUUCCGGAGAGGGAGCCUGAGAAACGGCUACCACUUCUACGGAGGGCAGCAGGCGCGUAAAUUGCCCAAUGCCAAAAAAAUUGAUGAGGCAGCGAAAAGAAAUAGGCCUCCUUGACACCAAUCGGUGUUUGGGAGAUUCCAAUGGGGGAUACCCAAAUCAAUCGAAUAUCGAGUACCAAUUGGAGGACAAGUCUGGUGCCAGCACCCGCGGUAAUUCCAGCUCCAAGAGCGUAUAUUAACGCUGUUGCUGUUAAAGGGUUCGUAGUUGAACUGAUGGCUGUCAAGGAGUCGAUCCAGUCCCACCUCACUUCUUGUGGGGUCGGUGACCAUCGCUCUUGCUGCUCGUGAACAUCAGAAACAGAGACCACGGAAACGAUUUUUGCCUUCCCAACAAAAUACGCAUGUCAUGCAUGCAUGGGGGGACGUCCGUGCCAUUUACUGUGACGAAAAAAGCGUGACCAAAGCAGUCAUUUCGACGUGAAUUUCAAAGCAUGGGAUAACAAAGCAGCAGCCUACGGGCUACCAUUUCGGCUUUUGUUGGUUUUAAAGGUCUGUGGGAGAUUAUGGAUCCGCACGACAAGCGUUUCCGGAGGGGUUUUGCCUUUCCCACUCACAAAAAGCACUGUCGUCGCACUGUCCUUUCCAAGGCGGUCGUACACAGCUGCUGUGAGCUCGGGAGGCACCUCGCCCGGCGCCUCCGAACGGAGUGGUCUUAGCGCUCUCGUCCAUCCGGAGCAUCCGGCAUGGCGGGAGAAACGCGGCGCCUUCGGCUUGCGGUGUCCAGGAAUGAAGGAGGGUUGUUCGGGGGAGAACGUACUUGAGCGUGAGAGGUGAAAUUCUUAGACCGCUCAAAGACGAACUACAGCGAAGGCAUUCUCCAAGGAUACCUUCCUCAAUCAAGAACCAAAGUGUGGAGAUCGAAGAUGAUUAGAGACCAUUGUAGUCCACACCACAAACGGUGACCCCCAUGAAUUGGGGAGUACUUGGUAGGUGACGAGGCUGGGUCCUACCCAGUUUCCUCGGUCCCUCCAAAAUGAAUUCAAAUUUACGUGCAAAUUCCGAAUUGCGGUUUCGGCCGCAAAAAACGGGAAUAUCCUCAGCACGUUCUCUGACUGUUCCACGCGAAAGCUUUGAGGUUACAGUCUUAGGG